GGAGUCAUAAUUACCAAAUUGGAUGUGGAUGGACGAGACAGAGGUAUUGCGAAACCAGGUGAUGAUCUGAUGAUUUUUACUAUUCCAAUCCUCAAGACGGUCAGCAAAUUUUGCAUCAGUUUCAUCGUUCUCUCUUGUCGGCUUAGUGAUAUCUCCGGUAACAAUACGCCAAAGCUUGCGAUCUAUCAAAAAACUUUUCAUUCAAGGAUCAUUUAUGCAAUGCCAAAAAAGCAACCUCG
rnacentral:misc_RNA from 1 species